GUUUUAUGUACUUAAUUAAAAGACUUUAGUAAUUUCUGUGACAGCCAGUGAUGUGUUUGCUGGAAGGGAACUUUAUAGUCUACAUUGAAUACUGAGAGAGAUGCAACAAUUGCCCAAAAGCUGAGUUAAGGCAAGUCAGCAACCUACGGCACUCAAGGGUGCCAGAGCCAGACUCCGACCUAUCAGGUCCCUAGUGCAAACUGAAUGGAGAUUGCACGUGUUGAGGGGCAAUCCUUAAUUUACACAUUGCAAUACUUAGAGGAAGAUAUCACUUCCUCCCCCCCACUUGUGAAUGUGAAUCCGCACUGGAGUCAAGCAGCCCUCAGCCCCUGUCCUUGACCUGUACCUGGCCAGCCUGGUGCCCGCUGGACCCCAUGAAGGCCAACCACCCUUCUAGAUAUACACAGACCUGCAAAAUAAUGUUCCCCUUCAUGCAAAUAAUACAAACCGCACACACACAAACAGUACCUACAAACGUAACACCACUGACAAUCUACAUACACGCACACAAUUCCACAAGCCCCCACACACACAGUAACAUAUCCAUACACAAUUCCACAACCAGCCCCCAUACACUGCUCACAUUCAUACAGGGCCGGACUGGCCCACCGGGAUACCGUUGGCACCUG